rfam:Rhodonellum psychrophilum GCM71 = DSM 17998 strain GCM71 EFN26G3M, whole genome shotgun sequence.
AAAAAGUGGAGACCAGAGCCCACUUUAAAAAACGGGGUGAUACUGAAAAACCUUACGAGUAGGAAAAAA